UAUAUAAAUAUAAAUAGAAUAGAAUACAGUGUACAAAUACUUGUGGUCUGCUGAUUUGUGACAUUACCGACCAUUUACCUGUCUUUAUAGUACAUGAUGACAACUUUAGCACCUGUAAGGCACCCCAAAAACCUAUAUACAAACGAAUAAAAAACGAUAAAACUAUGAAUGCUCUUCAUCAAAAUUUGCUAGAGCAAGACUGGAACACUGUGUAUAGUGAAAGUGAUGCAGAUGUUUCAUUUAAUAAUUUUUUAGAAAUCUUUACUGCAAUAUAUAAUAAAUGCUGUCCAAUUCGCCAAAUUAGUAAAAACGAUAGAGUAAUAAAAUGUCCAUGGAUGACGAACGGAUUGCAAAAUGCUUGUAAAAAGAAAAACAAUUUAUACAUAGAAUUUGUUAGAUUAAGGACUGUGGAAUCUGAACAUAGAUAUAAAAGCUAUAAAAAUAAAUUGACUGAAAUUAAGAGAACU